CUUUAGAGAGGAAAACUCAUGUUAGAGCUUUGAGAACGAUGUGAAAUAAGGCAGCUGUUUCCGUAAAAAUCACCAGAAGAAAUUGGACCGGUGAUGUCACUGGUCUAGUACUGUGCUGCUGGUGGAAGAAGUCAAACCCCAGGAAUCAAAUGACGGCAUUGCCGGUUUAGCCAGCCAAUCCCCUUAACUUCCGUCAACUACACAACAAAAAGAAGACUGACACCUUUCCACCUGUGACAUAACCUCCAGGGUCCAUUCACCUGUACCUGCCUCUUCCUCCCAGAAUGCCAGAAAUUCAGAAGAGCCGCCAUCUUAAGGCAAAAGUCAGAGGACGACUCAUUGUGUGCAUUUACACGCCUUUCUUUUGCUUUUAAUACAGCUACACAGGGUUGGCCACAAAGGUGCCCCAAAUCUU